CCGACGAUUGGAGUGGGCAGCUGAAACAACACCUCGCCUUCUUGCCGCUGCUCUGAGGUGGGAAUCUGUGAGAAGCCUGUUGCGCGAACAGCUCUUCCUUGUAUCUCAGUCGCUUGGAAAGCAGGUGUGGCGCGACCCUGGGUUUUCAACAGAGCGCUUACAAGGACCUGUUGGAAGGAGAUAGUUUCGGGUCCUCCCGGCGUUGCUGGACACUGGUUGUGUCAACUGAGUGCAGUGAACAUGUUCAGCGGUGUGUCUGAAGAUAGAGGUCCAAAACUGUGGAUACCAUCUGGAGAAACUCAGCUUUCUAGUUUUGUUCGUAAUAGUGCUUUUUGUUAAAACAUUACGCUGUUCCUGGGUUGGUAGCGAGAGCUCGCACUACAGGAGGUCCUAUCUGUGUGUCCACGAAGCUCUAGACACCCCAGGAUGGUGUUACGAAGAACUGUUCGCUGUGGGCUACUGACGCUCGCCCCCCCUCCCUCUAGAGGCCAUCUGCAAAAUGGCUCUAAGGCUUGCGGCUCAUUCUUAUUGUCCCUGCACCACCCAGAAAGCUCACCUCUACAAGGAAUGCAGAUUCGACACUGGAAACUAUUUUAAGAACGUAUAAAUAUCCUUUGGCUAUACCAUAUAAAGUGGAGUCUCUUAAGCUAAAGCAGUUGCACUAAAAGAAGAGUUGCUUGGGAUAUUGCUGCAGCUUCGUGUAGGUGAUUAUUACGCUAUGUACCCCGAUUUAACGCAAAAUUUAGCAGAAAUUUUUAAUAUUGGAAGUGUGUACCUGCCUAAUGCCAAAUCGACAUAUUUGUUGAAGUAGACUAUCAAGGAAACAGCAAUAUGAACGUAAAUAACGAAAAGUCGGUUGGAGUAGACUGUUGAACAUGGAUGAGAUCCACUUACAAAGAUCCUCGUUGUCCAGGAAUGAACGAAGAUAAGUUUUCACGCUGACGCUCUUUCAGAAUUCCCAUACAUGAGUUUACAAGAAACUUAUACGCCCUACUAGAGUACAUAUACAACACGGUAUUAACAGACUGGA